ensembl:misc_RNA Vault Vault RNA
GGGCUGGCUUUAGCCCAGCGGUUCCUUCGAGUCUGGCUUCCCAACCGCCUGGGCUGAUUGUUCCGGUGGUUCGUGACCGCGGGCGCUCUCCAUUCCUUUA